rnacentral:rRNA from 1 species
UUUGUUACUUCAAACCAAUCGGACUUCGGUCUGACAUCAAGUGAUAUUGAACAAUUUAGCUGAUCGCACGGUCUAAGAACCGGCGACAUAUCCUUCAAAUGUCUGCCUUAUCAACUUUCGAUGGUAGAUUAUGCGCCUACCAUGGUUGUAACGGGUAACGGAGAAUCAGGGUUUGAUUCCGGAGAGGGAGCCUGGGAAACGGCUACCACAUCCAAGGAAGGCAGCAGGCACGCAAAUUACCCACUCCCGGCACGGGGAGGUAGUGACGAAAAAUAACAAGCUGGUCUCAAUGAGUUCCAGCAUUGUAAUGGGAACAAUUUAAAUCUUUUAUCGAGGAUCUAUUGGAGGGCAAGUCUGGGGCCAGCAGCCGCGGUAAUUCCAGCUCCAAUAGCGUAUAUUAAAGUUGUUGCGGUUAAAAAGCUCGUAGUUGGAUCUAGGAUUAGGGCUACGGUCGCUCAGCUUGGACGUACUGUAUGCCCGACUCCUUUUCUCUAGUAUUCGAUUGUUGCUCUUAAAUGAGUGACUUUAGUUGCUGGAACUUUUACCUUGAAAAAAUUGAAGUGCUCAAAGCAGGUU